rnacentral:rRNA from 1 species
UACGAAGGGGGCUAGCGUUGUUCGGAAUUACUGGGCGUAAAGCGCACGUAGGCGGAUCGAUCAGUCAGGGGUGAAAUCCCGCAGCUCAACUGCGGAACUGCCUUUGAUACUGUCGGUCUAGAGUAUGGAAGAGGUGAGUGGAAUUCCGAGUGUAGAGGUGAAAUUCGUAGAUAUUCGGAGGAACACCAGUGGCGAAGGACGGCUGCACUGGUGCCCAUUACUGA